rnacentral:rRNA from 1 species
UUAAUCCUGGCUCAGGACGAACGCUGGCGGCGUGCUUAACACAUGCAAGUCGAACGGAAAGGCCCCUUCGGGGGUGCUCGAGUGGCGAACGGGUGAGUAACACGUGGGUGAUCUGCCCUGCACUUCGGGAUAAGCUUGGGAAACUGGGUCUAAUACCGGAUAGGACCAUGGGAUGCAUGUCUUGUGGUGGAAAGCUUUUGCGGUGUGGGAUGGGCCCGCGGCCUAUCAGCUUGUUGGUGGGGUGAUGGCCUACCAAGGCGACGACGGGUAGCCGGCCUGAGAGGGUGUCCGGCCACACUGGGACUGAGAUACGGCCCAGACUCCUACGGGAGGCAGCAGUGGGGAAUAUUGCACAAUGGGCGCAAGCCUGAUGCAGCGACGCCGCGUGGGGGAUGACGGCCUUCGGGUUGUAAACCUCUUUCAGCAGGGACGAAGCGCAAGUGACGGUACCUGCAGAAGAAGCACCGGCCAACUACGUGCCAGCAGCCGCGGUAAUACGUAGGGUGCGAGCGUUGUCCGGAAUUACUGGGCGUAAAGAGCUCGUAGGUGGUUUGUCGCGUUGUUCGUGAAAUUCCAUGGCUUAACUGUGGG